rnacentral:lncRNA from 1 species
ACAAGUAAAGUUGAAGUAGUCUCUUGUCCAGCAAAAUAGAACAAUUUACACUCUUCAAUCACCUCAUCAAUGCUCAUACCAAAUUUCUUAUUCCCAUGUUGUUGUAUUUCUUUUAAAUUGGAUGUCAAUAAUAUACUCAAUAAAUCAUCAUGUGAUUCUCCAGCUUCAAUCAUCCUCAUUCUUUUAUUGAUAAUUCCCAAUAUAAGUGCUUUUACUUCAUAGAAGAUUUGCAUCAUCCUUUUGUUCUUUUUAGUUGGCACAAACCUAUAGUUCAUGAUCAUGAUAACAUUAAUUAUUGUUAAAAAAAUCAAUAUACAAGAAAUAUCAUAGAGUACUUAGAGACACGUAAAUACGCUUCUUGAAGAUAGUUGAAGUUUGUUUCACGAACUAAUAAAAGAAUGAUAACACAAUACUGUCUUUCACAUUCAACUAAACCACAUGUUUUUUUCAAAGGGGAAACAACGGUUUUAGUCCUUGUAUUAUUACGUAAUUUCACUUUUAGUCCCUGUAUUAUUUGAUGUUGCAUAUUUAACCUUGAAUUAUUUGAAAUGUGUUGUUUUGGUCAUUGAAAUUAACAAAAGUUAACUAUUAAUUAAUUUAACAUAAAAUUAAAUAAAAUAAAGGAUUGGUGAUUCUAAAUGCUUGAAGAAUUAUGUAUAUAAAGUCUGCAACACGAAAUUUUUAUGCGAUUAUCCAUCCUAGUUCGACGUACUUAUUUUCAAGCAUGCUUAACUUUGAAGUUUUAUUCAGAAUUCAUAAUGAAAAAUAAAAUAAUAUAUAUAUAUAUAUUCAUUUUUGAAAUUAAUUCAAUUUGUUCUUUUUGAAGUUCAAAAUUCUUUUUUCCUUCUUCAUAAUUACUGCCAAAAGCAGUUCUUGAAAUUGCAUCACUUGUCAAUGUUUGAAGAUAUGGCCACACAUCUAUCUCUGUUCCGUCUUUCGAGACAACUUUCUUCCAUGUGUUCAACAUUUCAUUAACAGUUAAUUUGAAUGCAGGUAGCAUAUGCUGCACAUUAAUAAGAAUUAUCACAAACUUAAUAUUUAUAUAUAUUUAAUAAAUCUUCUAACACAUAUAUGUAACUUCAAUCUUCAUUUCUGCGCACAGUCAAAUUAUGACAAAGAAAUUGAAACAAGAGAAAUAAUAAGUAGUAAGAGAAAUGGCUUCAAUGUUUUUGUUUUACUUUUUGUUUUAGUCAGUUUCCAAAAACAAUCUCUCUUUUCUUCUUUUUUUUGACAACUCUAUUGUUUUAAACUUUUGACAUACUUAAGAUUACAAGAUUAAAAACCAUUUUUGUAUAUUCUAUAUAUCUAUAGUUUAAGACAACGAGAUAUCAAGAGUCUUCUUUACUUUGUUAAACUUCUUGUCAAAGUGAAAAUUAGACGUCCAGACAAAUGAAUUGAAACAAAAAGAGUAUAACAAAGUUUCAAAAUGGCUAAAACCUUCAACUUGUCAAGGUGAAAAGCUGGAUUGAGAAUCCUUCUAUGUGUGGCCCAUUUAUCUUUUUCAUGGCCCGCAAGCCCAGAUAUUACCAACUUAGAUAGUGGGCUGCCACGUGCCUUAUGAUAAACAUAAUUCUUUGUUAACACCUCCCUUAUCAAUUUGGGCUCUGUGAUAAGGACUGCUGGUUUGGGCCCAAUCCACACAAAACAAUUCUUACCUACAAAAUUGAAGUGAAAGGGAAAAUUACGCGAUAUAGCGACUUAAGUCUAUUAAUUUUUAUAUGUAUGUAUGUAUGUUGUAUGACGAUCACUAUACGUAUGUAUGAUUGUAUGUAUAUGUAUCUAUGACGGUACGACAAAUGUAUGUAUACAUGUAUGAUUGUAUGUAUGUAUGCCUCUAGUGUAUGUAUGAUAUGUUUUUUUGAAAAGAAAUGUUACACAAUUAUAUAGUUACUAAGUAAUUUUUGUAUGAAAGGCAUGGAUUGAUAACCUACAAAAUAUUAUAAAUAGCUUCCUUCAGAACUUUAGUCUAGUGAUAAGAACAACACAUCACAUGAUGUGUAUGUUAAAAGUGUACGUCAAGGGGUCCAAACCUUGUUGAAGACAUAAGGUCGAUAUUAAAGUAAAGAAUGAUAAAAGGUUGGAAUCAUUAUUCACCCAAUAUUAGUACAAUAUAAGAGCUUAAGUCAUAGAUAAUGUGUAAUUUACACAAUAAACUCAUCUAAAAAUAUUAUUUACUAUCGUAGAUAAAUGUGAUCUGAUGAUAUAAAAUUUUAUACACCAAUGAUAUUAGUAAAAAUUUAUACAUAACUAGAUCAGUUAAAAGAUACCAAAUAGUAAAUGCAUAAAAGGGUCAUAUUUGCCCAUUUACUUACCAUAAUUUGUGAUGGUUUUGUGGAUGAAGGGGUUGAUUCUAGGCCAAAUCAAGUCAUGUGAGAAAUCAAUAGGCUUGGAUGUAGCUUCUUCAAUCAUCUUCUUCAUCUCUUUCAUAUCCCCAUACAACAACUUGUAAGAAUUUCCUUUGAAACCUUGUUGUCUUAGUUGUUUCUCCAAUUUUUUUGGUUUGAACCAAACAUAAUUCAAGAUUCUCCAUGUCCAUCUCAAUACAAAGAUAAUUGCAAAUGAAAAUAUUGCAAUUUUUAAGUUGUAAUAUGAUAUUUCCAUAUUCAAAAACCUAACCCUUCCCUCACUAGCCUCCAAUAUGAUAAUACCAAGUUUCAUGCUCUUUAUUAUGAUAUUAGUACCAUAUAUAUACAUACUAAAUGAAGAAAAUGAAGUUUUAAAUUAAUAAAUUAAAAGUCAUAAGGGGUUGCUACUUGUUUGGUUAAUGGAAGAAGGUGAUAUAUCAGAUAAUUAAGUUUGGAAUAAAUUUAUAUCUUUAAUUUAAUUUUACAUAUCUGUUUAUUUCAUUCAGUUUGAUAUUAUUUUAUCUCAUCUUCUAAGUAUUCAAAUUAAUUAUAAAAUUAUAAUUUCAAGAUAACUUAAUUCGUGAAUCAAGGUAGUGAUCAAGAAAUUAUAUUCCAACCACACGUAUUUGAAAAUUCAAAAAAAUCCAUAGAUUUAUUGCACGUCAUUUUCUCUAUCAAUCUUUUUCUUUAUCUUUGUGUCUAGACUAUUUGGACUUAUCAACUCUUAUUAAAUUAAGAAUAAUCUUCCCUUUUAGAAAGAAAAAGAAGAUCUUUUACUAUAUAUUAAUGUAGAUAUUUGAAGCAAAAGCAAUGAGGGAACUAGAAAGUUUAAAUAUAAAUAUUAAAAUACAACAAUGCCAUACAAUUUGAACCUUGACUUAAAGUUGAACCUUAAAUAAAAAUAAUGUGAACCUUUAACUUAAUUUGAACCUUGAAUUAAAAUAAUAUGAACCUUAAAUUAAAUUGAGCAUUGGAAGAAGAUUAGUCUUUAUUGAACCUUAGAUUAAUUUAAAAUAAGAUAGACUCCUUUUGUUCACUUUUACUUGUCACAGUUUGACUUGACACACUCAUUAAAAAAAUAAUAAAUGAUAUAGGUAUUUUAUCAAACUCUUCUCUAUAAAAUGAUGUCUUGGAAAAAUGAUUUGAAAAAUAAGUAUUUAAUGUUGAGGGUAAAACAUGAAAACAAAAUUAUUAUCUUUUUUUGAUAUGUAAAAGGUGACAAGUAAAAUGUUAUUUUAGUUGUGUGACAUUUUCUAAAGCAGAUCAACAAAAAAUAAUGCAUGAGAUCUUCAUCAUGACUUUUUCUUUUGUUCAAAUUAUAAGUAAAUAUAGAAAAGAUCAUUUCCUCGAUAACAUUUCUUGAAUUCAACUUCAUAUUACUUAAUUUCUUGAAUUAACCAUAUAGGUUUGUACCAACAAAAACAAAUAGAAGGAUGAAACAAAUCUUUAAUGAAGUGGGAGCAUUGAUAUUAGGAAUCAUCAACAAAAGAAUAAAGAUGAUUGAAGAUGGAGAAAUAGAUGAUGACUUAUUGAGUAUACUAUUGACAUCCAAUUUACAAGAAAUCCAACAACAUGGACAUAAAAAAUUUGGUAUGAGCACUGAUGAGGUGAUUGAAGAGUGUAAAUUAUUUUAUCUUGCUGGGCAAGAGACUACUUCAGCUUUACUUGUGUGGACAAUGAUUUUAUUGUGCAAAUAUCCUAUUUGGCAAGAAAGGGCUAGACAAGAGGUUCUACAAGUGUUUGAAAGUGAUGAAUUUGACUAUGACAAGUUGAAUCACCUAAAAGUGGUAAGUAGACAAAUUUCUAUAUUUAGUCUGUAUAAAAAAGAAUGUCACGUUUUAGUUUUAUAAUUUUUCAAUAUAUAUAUCGUUAGGGAGGUCAUUUAUAACCGCACAUUAUAGAGAGAGUGCUAUUUUAUUUUGUUUAGUCAGUCUAAAGAUAUUAUGUUAGAUACUCUUAACAUAAUAUUCAACUAUUUGUACCCCUUAUAUAUUGUCAUGAUGACACUAAUCACUAGUGAUAUUUUUCUUUUUAAUAGGUUACUAUGAUCUUAAAUGAGGUUUUAAGGUUGUAUCCAUCAGGAUAUUUUAUUAAUAGAGUGGUGACCAAAGACACAAAGCUAGGAAAGUUGUGUUUACCCUCUGGGGUGCAACUUUUGUUGGGAACAAUUUUGUUGCAUCAUGAUACUGAAUUAUGGGGAGAUUAUGCAAUGGAGUUCAAUCCUGAGAGAUUUAGUGAUGGAGUAGCCAAAGCAACAAAAGGACAACUUGUGUUUUUUCCUUUUAGUUGGGGUCCAAGAAUAUGUAUUGGCCAAAACUUUGCUAUGUUAGAGGCAAAAAUUGCAAUAGCCAUGAUUCUCAAACACUAUUCUUUUGGACUCUCUCCAUCUUAUGCUCAUGCUCCUCAUCCACUAUUGCUUCAACCUCAAUAUGGUGCUCAUUUGAUUUUGUACAAGUUGGAGAAAUGAUCAUUUGGAACUUAUUAUUAGAUUUAUAUCAUUGUAAUCAUCAACUAUAUAUGUGUGAACAUGUUUUUUCUUGUAAUAGAUCAUACACUUCAGUCAAUAUAAUUAUGUUGUGUAGUUUUUAAUGCAACUUGCUUGGAAAUACUUCAAAAUAUUAUGUAUAUUACCACUAAUUAAGAGUUUUGUUACCAUAUAUUGAGAAAGAUACACUUCGAUACAUAUAAUUUUGCUACCAGAUACACUAAAAUAGGGUGAGAGGCGAGCAAGAUGGGGAGGGAGGCGAACGAGAGUUUGUUACGUAUCCCAUAUAUAUGUGAAUCACGCUAGAUACACACUGUAUACAUGUAUAUGUAUGUAUCUGGUGUGAUUCGCAUGUAUUGGGAUACCAGAUACAUAGGAGAGUGGUGAGGGAGAUGGGAGAAAGGCGAGGGAGGCGUGUGAGACUUGUUAUGUAUCCCAGAUACAUGCAAAUCCACUUGGAUACAAUAUUAUCCUGAGAUAAAUGUAUCUGGACAUAUCUGAACACAUCUGUGAAAGUCACAAGGAACUAACUCAACGCCUAAAAGGCUAAAACAAGCUUGGAACCUCCCAAAAAUCAACCAAGACCUCAGCUAGACCUAAAAUCAUUCCCCAAACCCAAGUGAACUUUUGGAAUUCCGAUCCGAGCACCCGAACCCCGAAUAUUAACCAAAGUCAAUUCAAAGGCCAAAUUUCCAAAAAUUCACAACUUAGGACCUCAAAUCCUCAAAAAACUCUAAAUCUAAAACCGACAACUUUCGCAGAUCAGAUUUCACAUUUCGAAACUGAUGGAAUCAAUGAAAUUCCAUUCCGACACUUGAAACUCCAAAAGACACUGAAAACCACUUUUUUAACAACUUAGCCUUUCAAACUCAAAACUUACCAAAUUCUCAACUUUAAACUCAAAGUUCAAAACCAACUUUCAAAACUCAACCAAAAAUCGUUCAGAGUCGAUAUCGGAAGGGAAAAAACGGUAAAUUCACGAAAGUUUCCAAAAAUGACCAACCGAGUUAUUGCAAAAAGAAUGGAAGAGGAAAAUCAUAAACAUAAAGUGCACUAAUAUUAUUAUAAUAAAGUGCUCCACUCUUAUACAAUACAAUAUAUGACUUCACUUAUACAUAACUACUAUAUAUGUCAAUCCUUAAACUCCUACUUACUUUAACUAUAAUUAAAGAAUAAUACAUAUAGGAUAUAGCAUGACUCAAAAGACAACACAUGAUGACCAAUUCUACAACUUGUGCAUGAUCAAUUGAGCACCAUAUUGAGGUUGAAGUAAUAAUGGAUGAGGAGCAUGAGCAUAGGAUGGAGAGAGUUCAAAUGCAUAGUGUUUUAGAAUCAUGACCAUUGCCAUUUUUGCCUCUAACAUAGCAAAAUUUUGCCCAAUACAUAUUCUUGGACCCCAAUUAAAUGGAAAAAAUACAACUUGUCCUUUUGUUGCUUUUGAUAUUCCUUCACUAAAUCUCUCUGGCUUGAACUCCAUUGCAUCAUCUCCCCAUAUUUCAGUAUCAUGAUGCACUAACAUUGUUGCUAAUAUGAGUUGCACCCCAGAGGGUAAACACAAAUCCCCUAACUUUGUUUCUGUAUUUACCAUUCGAUUAAUCGCGUAUACUGAUGUAUACAACCUUAAGACCUCGUUUAAGAUCAUAGUCACCUAUAAAAUAAUAGAUCACAAGUUAAUAUAGCCAUUAAACAUAUUGAUUUUAUAAGAAAAAGUAGAAUUUAGAACUUGAUUACCAUUUUGAUAAUAUUUAGAUGAAGUUGAGUGACAUUAUGAUUAAAAAACUAAUUUAAAAACUUUUGGGAUUAUUAAGUAAAGUUGAAUGACUUUUCUAUUACAAAAAGUGGUUUACCGACUUAGGUGCUAAAAAAUGAAAGUUAGGCCGAAGAGUAUGACCUAGUUGUCAAUAAAGUGAUAUUAGUAAAAAUCACGAAAGACUACUUCGAAUUUCAAUACAUAAAAACUCCAAGAAUUUUUUUCUCAUGUAUUUGGUUGGUGGAGUUUCCUGAUAUAUUUAUAUAUAAAGUACUUGGUUGAGGUACGACUUGCAAACUGACCUAGAUACUACCAUAAUAACAAAAAAGUUCAAAAUAAUUGAGCAUGUAGGCAAUACUUACUACUUUUAGUUGAUUCAACUUAUCAUAAUCAAGUUCAUCACUUGCAAACACUUGUAAAACCUCUUCUCUAGCUCUUUCUUGCCAAAUAGGAUACUUGCAUAAUAAAAUCAUUGUCCACACAAGUAAAGUUGAAGUAGUCUCUUGUCCAGCAAAAUAGAACAAUUUACACUCUUCAAUCACCUCAUCAAUGCUCAUACCAAAUUUCUUAUUCCCAUGUUGUUGUAUUUCUUUUAAAUUGGAUGUCAAUAAUAUACUUAAUAAAUCAUCAUGUGAUUCUCCAGCUUCAAUCAUCCUCAUUCUUUUAUUUAUAAUUCCCAAUAUAAGUGCUUUUACUUCAUAGAAGAUUUGCAUCAUCCUUUUGUUCUUUUUAGUUGGCACAAAC